rnacentral:rRNA from 1 species
GUAAUCGACGGUUUGAGCUGAGCUCUUUCGGGAGUAUUUUGUGCUCGCCUUGAUUCCAAUCCAUCCUUCACACCUGUGCACAUAUUGUAGUUUUGGGUUUUGUGUUGUAAUGGGGGCCAAACCCCCCACUUCAAAUCCCUGACUCUCCUUAUUUUUCCUUAUCCCCUAUUAUAUGUUUAGAAUGUUAUUAUUUGCAAAAUAAAUAAAAAAACUCAAUUAUUAACAAAACUUUCGAGUCAACGGAUCUCUUGGCUCUCUCAUCAAUGAAGAACGCAGCGAAAUGCAAUGAGUAAUGUGAAUUGCAGAAUUCCAUGAAUCCUCUAAACUCUGCAACGCAUCUCGCGCUCCUCGGAAUUCCAAGGAGCAUGCCUGUUUGAGUGUCAUGAAUCUUUCAAACUCUUAAUUUUUGUUACCAACUACACUUUUUGAACUUGGAACUUGUAUGCUUUUUGCUGGCAAAUCUCCUCUCCACUAAAAACUAGUAUGCUUGGGUCUUUGGAUGUCUGGAUCCGUGGAGUGAUAAUUAUCUCACACUCCACGAUGUCCCUCCGCACCCUGCUUCUAUUCGUCCUUGAUGAUCUGAAAUGACAACAAAUACUCUUUAUUCAUUUGACAUCUGACCUCGUAUCACGACUACGACUACCCUCUAACCUAUAACACCAUUCCGAAAAAGGAGGAAAAGG